GUGUUGUAUGAAAGGAGAGAAGGUUAGCACUCCCCUUGAAGGAAAAGGCCCUCAUAGCCCGUACAACAUGCAUACGGUUUAGGCAUUGCCACCUACUUAGUGGCAUCUAACCAUGUUUU